AACGAACGCUGGCGGCAGGCCUAACACAUGCAAGUCGAGCGAAGCCUUCGGGCUUAGCGGCGGACGGGUGAGUAACGCGUGGGAACGUGCCCUUUGCUACGGAAUAGCCCCGGGAAACUGGGAGUAAUACCGUAUGUGCCCUUCGGGGGAAAGAUUUAUCGGCAAAGGAUCGGCCCGCGUUGGAUUAGGUAGUUGGUGGGGUAAUGGCCUACCAAGCCGACGAUCCAUAGCUGGUUUGAGAGGAUGAUCAGCCACACUGGGACUGAGACACGGCCCAGACUCCUACGGGAGGCAGCAGUGGGGAAUCUUAGACGAUGGUGGAAACCCUGAUCUAGCCAUGCCGCGUGAUCGAUGAAGGCCUUAGGGUUGUAAAGAUCUUUCAGUGGGGAAGAUAAUGACUGUACCCACAGAAGAAGCCCCGGCUAACUCCGUGCCAGCCGCCGCAGUAAUAC
rnacentral:rRNA from 1 species